rnacentral:rRNA from 1 species
AUGGAGAACAAGCAGUUGGUGCCGGUGGCGGCGACGAACGGGACGAAUGGCGGCGGCGCGCUGGCGAUGCGCAAGGCGUCGUCCAAGGACCGGCAUAGCAAGGUGGACGGCUGGGGGCGGCGCAUCCGGAUGCCCAUCAUUUGCGCGGCGCGGGUAUUCCAGCUCAUGCGCAAGCUCGGCCACAAGUCCGACGGCCAGACCAUCGAGUGGCUGCUCCGCCAGGCCGAGCCCUCCAUCAUCGCCGCCACCGGCUCCGGCACCACCACGGCCUCCUUCUCCACCUCCUCACCCUCCUCGCUCCGCCCCGGCGUGUCCCACCCCCACGCGCACGUGCAGCCGCUUGCCGCCUCCCCGCACCACCCGCACCACCACCUCCCGCACGACGCCGCCCUUCAUCCUCGGCAAGCGCGUCCGCGACGACGACGGCAGCGGCAACGGCAACGGCACCGCACCCGGCGAGGCGGCGGCAACAGCGGCCAUGGGCCCCGCCCCGGGCUUCUGGGCGCUGCCCGCGCGGGCCGACUUUGGGCAGCUGUGGAGCUUCGCGCCGCCACCGGAGAUGAUGGUGGCGACGCCAGCGAUGGCGAGGGAGGCCUCCGCCGCCCGGGUCGGCAACUACCUCCCCUGGCCCAGGCCAACGUGAACCUGCUCGCCUCCUUCUCCGGCGGCCAAGUAGUACUCCAACUCUCCGAGUAG